CCUACGGGAGACAGCAGUGAGGAAUAUUGGUCAAUGGCCGCGAGCCUGAACCAGCCAAGUAGCGUGAAGGAUGACUGCCCUACGGGUUGUAAACUUCUUUUGUCAAGGAAUAAACUGAGGCACGUGUGCCUGUUUGUAUGUACUUUAUGAAUAAGCAUCGGCUAACUCCGUGCCAGCAGCCGCGGUAAUACGGAGGAUCCGAGCGUUAUCCGGAUUUAUUGGGUUUAAAGGGAGCGUAGAUGGGUUGUUAAGUCAGUUGUGAAAGGUUGCGGCUCAACCGUAGAAUUGCAAUUGAAACUGGCAGCCUUGAGUACAGGUGAGGUAGGCGGAAUUCGUGGUGUAGCGGUGAAAUGCUUAGAUAUCGCGCAGAACUCCGAUUGCGAAGGCAGCUUACUAAACGGCAACUGACAUUGAUGCACGAAAGUGUGGGUAUCAAACAGGAUUAGAUACCCUGGUAGUC
rnacentral:rRNA from 1 species